UAGCAAUUUAGUGUGAAAAUGAUAAAAUGAGGAUGCAAAAGUAUUGUUUAUUAAUAUAUAUCAAUAUGCAUGAAUUAAAAUAAAUACUCACUUUCGUAGAGCAUUAUGAUUGCACUUAGCAUAUGCAACAAGCCGUUAAACCCCUAGGUUACCCUAGUGGACGAGUGUUGUCUCGUGAGGGUUUGCAGUGAUGUUACCCACAAACAUCAUUUUUAAGUUAGAAGAUACUUUAAAACAUAGCAACCCUUAAGGCAAAUGUAAAUGUGACGUCUCAGAAUACCUAUACCUCCACCACAAUUGGGUACCCCUUGAGUUCUAGGUGCACUACUCAAAUUCACAAGUGUUAAAUAUCAUUUGUUAGCUCCCGACUCACUAAAUUUUCCGAAUAUCACAUGUUAUUUAUCCAGAAUGGUUCGCAUAUAAAAAUGAAGCUAUCAAUCCCAAUUAGACAUCCCAGGUACACAGAGUUCUAAAACAAUGGAGUCAAACCAGUCAUCCACAUGUCACUUGGUUUAAGUUUAACUAACUCACUCAUGUUUAAAAUAUAUAUAUAUAUUUUUUCGCACAGUGACUACAACAGUCCAACUCCAUUAGGCUCUAUUAAGGUCCAUGUAACGAGCUUUGGGUCAAUGACUCUUGAUCCAGUUGGCUCAAGGCAUUAGGUGAAACACCUCUCGGACUUAAUUACUCGAACCAGACUAUGCCACGAGGCCAGACUAGUCACUUAUUUCAGUCAUUUUUACCUUUUUACGCGAACACUCGCUGCUUUGUAGGCAAGAGGCCCGGUUACUCAGUGAAGACAAACUGUAUUAUUUCUCUCUUUUUUUUUAUAUAUACAAAUGUAACGUGACCGUAUUGUGACUAUAGGUCAACCAAGGUUAGAACAUAAGGCACCCAGGUGAUCUAGCCAGAAAUAUCAAACUCUAUCUUUAUGUAAAAACCAAAUAAUGAACUUUAGGAAAAGGACACUUGUACUUCUCUUGCGAAUAAGGUCAACAAACAAAUAGGUAACAUAAGUGAACUCCUGAGGCCUUCCUAUUGUCAUUGAAUACUUGUGUGGGGAUCUAAUAAUAGGUCUCUAAUAAGUCAUAAUGUGCUCCUUGCCUUAAUAGCUACACAUGUUUAAUUCUUUGAAAAAAUUAAAGUGGUAAUUAAAUGCAACAAAAUAUAUGUUUGUUAUUAUUAUUACUAUUAUUAUUAUU
rnacentral:lncRNA from 1 species